rnacentral:rRNA from 1 species
GAUCAUGGCUCAGGAUGAACGCUGGCGGCGUGCUUAACACAUGCAAGUCGAACGGGGUUUACGAGAAGCUUGCUUUUGUAAACCUAGUGGCGGACGGGUGAGUAACGCGUGAGUAACCUGCCUUAGACUGGGGGAUAACACUUAGAAAUAGGUGCUAAUACCGCAUAAGCGCACGGUAUCGCAUGAUACAGUGUGAAAAACUCCGGUGGUCUAAGAUGGACUCGCGUCUGAUUAGCUGGUUGGUGAGGUAACGGCCCAUCAAGGCGACGGUCAGUAGCCGGCCUGAGAGGGUGAACGGCCACAUUGGGACUGAGACACGGCCCAAACUCCUACGGGAGGCAGCAGUGGGGGAUAUUGCACAAUGGGCGAAAGCCUGAUGCAAGCGACGCCGCGUGAGUGAAGAAGUAUUUCGGUAUGUAAAGCUCUAUCAGCAGGGAAGAAAAUGACGGUACCUGACUAAGAAGCCCCGGCUAACUACGUGCCAGCAGCCGC